ACGAACGCUGGCGGCAUGCCUCACACAUGCAAGUCGAACGAGACCUUCGGGUCUAGUGGCGCACGGGUGCGUAACGCGUGGGAACCUGCCCUUAGGUUCGGGAUAACUCCCCGAAAGGGGUGCUAAUACCGGAUAAUGUCUUCGGACCAAAGAUUUAUCGCCUUUGGAUGGGCCCGCGUUGGAUUAGCUAGUUGGUAGGGUAAAAGCCUACCAAGGCGACGAUCCAUAGCUGGUCUGAGAGGAUGAUCAGCCACACUGGGACUGAGACACGGCCCAGACUCCUACGGGAGGCAGCAGUGGGGAAUAUUGGACAAUGGGCGAAAGCCUGAUCCAGCAAUGCCGCGUGAGUGAUGAAGGCCUUAGGGUUGUAAAGCUCUUUUACCCGGGAUGAUAAUGACAGUACCGGGAGAAUAAGCUCCGGCUAACUCCGUG
rnacentral:rRNA from 1 species